rnacentral:snoRNA from 10 species
GCAUUCUUUCCUAAAUGUGAAGCCAGCUCUUGGUGUUGCUUCAACUGCCACUUGAUAUUAAUGACAGUUCUUCUUUCCCACUGGGAGAAUAAAGAGGAGAGAAUGCAGUC